AAGGAGGCAGAUGAACUCAGUCUCGGUUAGUAUGUGCGUCUUAGUGGAGGGCAGGAUGGUGUUCCGAAGUGUAAUCCGUUAUUCUUUCGCCUCACUAAGACUUUCGAGGCUGUAACUAAACAUUGGAUGUGGGAAUGAACUCAAGAACCACAUGACUGUCCUACAAGAUGCAGGUGUUUCGAUAAGGUGCGCAGGACAGUGUAUUAGUGAGAGGCGCUGGGAUGAGAGGAGAGCGACUAUGGCUGGCUUGUGUGGGGUUUCCCGGCCACUAACUCGAAUCGGCUCGAAGCAGUGAGUGCCGGCGUGAAUGUGGCACCUGCUGAGGGGAGACCAGGAGACGCCGCGAGCUGCAUCUGGGAACAAGACAUAAGUGUGGCGCCGCCGAGGGAGGCCGCCUUAUUGGGGAGGCCUGUGGGGAGUAAAUCGCUGGAAUCCAGGAGUACCCUGCUGGAGUGUUGCCAGAAGCCUGCCCCCUCCUUCACAUGAUCCCUCCAGCACCGGGAGAACCUUGCCCAGCGCCGCCCAUCCCUCCCUUCCUCCGUCUACCUCGCUGGCCUUGACUCACAUCUGCACCACCAUAAGAAAAAGUUUGCAGGGAAUGAGGGAGAGCAAGCCGAGCGGGAAGCAGGGAUGAGGUAAUGACUGGUGUUAGGCAAGCUGGGCGGGUGCCACGAGGGACGGAGGGAAUGAGGAGGUCAAGGAGGAAGGUCAAACAGAACGAGACAGUCAGCCACGCUUCUCGACGCAGUAUUCGGAAGAGAAGCCUCACGUGUGCGUAUAAUGACAUUCCGCGGCGCAGUUUUUGGGAAGUGACUGAAUUAAACUAAUAACAUUGUACUUGAUGGUCAGACAGAAUGGUGAAUAUAUAGAUCAAGCUAUGAAUGAAAUACCUCACACA